GAGUUCAAGCUACUGUUCCUUAGUAACAGUGCAUUGCCAAUUCUGCCUUCCCAACUUGCUAAAAUUACUGGGCUACCAUUAAUCACCCUCGUGUCUUCUUCAUCACCUGGAAGUUCCCACCUCACCCAGUUACCACCUUCGCCAUCUCCAUUUUCCUUCAUCUACCUCCUGUGCCGGCGAUUCGCCAUCGCCACCUUCCAAAAAUCGCCGGCAAUUCACCCUCACCGUCUGAAAAUUUGUUGUUCUAAACUUAUUCUUCUUCGUCUGAAAAUUUCGGUAAAAUUCGUUAUCAUUUCAAUUUCUGUUUCUUCUCUUUUUGAUGAUUGAUUUUCGAUUGUUGAAUCUUCAAAUUCGGAGGUAAGAAGAAUGCUAAAUGAAACUUUUGUGUUGAUUUUUGUGGUUGCGCAGAAUAUGCUUGGAUUGCGCGCAGAAAAGUUGUUCGUGGUGGUGUCUCAGUAUUUUCGACUAAAUCUCUUAACUUUCGCUUCGAUUGAUUGUAUUAUGUGUAUGUGAAAUGACAUUGAUCAAUUGUUUAUGUUGCUAUUUUUCGUUCAGGUGUUAGGUCGCCAAAUUCGAAGGAAAUCAGGAGCAUCUGCAGCUCCUUUUGGAUCUAAUGUCUAUGCGAGAUCUGGAAAAGAGGUUAUUUUGAUUUUAAUGUCUAGAAUCAGGCCAUGGGCUGUAUGAAGAGUCCCUUCCAUCUGGUGGAAUAAUCA